GAUGAACGCUGACAGAAUGCUUAACACAUGCAAGUCUUUGGCGAAGCUGUGCUCGCACUGCCUAGCCAAGGCGGACGGGUGAGUAACGCGUAAGGAACUUGCCCUGCAGUCAGGGAUAACAGACGGAAACGACUGAUAAGACCUGGUAAAGUCAGGCGGACUCAUGUCCAGCCUGAUGAAAAGGGAUGCUGCAGGAGAGCCUUGCGUCCUAUUAGCUUGUUGGUGGGGUAACGGCCCACCAAGGCGAUGGUAGGUAGCCGGCCUGAGAGGGUGGACGGCCACAAGGGGACUGAGAUACGGCCCUUACUCCUACGGGAGGCAGCAGUGGGGAAUAUUGGACAAUGGGGGCAACCCUGAUCAAGCAAUUCUGUGUGCACGAUGAAGGUUUUCGGAUUGUAAAGUGCUUUCAGCAGGGAAGAAAAAAAUGACGGUACCUGCAGAAGAAGCGACGGCUAAAUACGUG
rnacentral:rRNA from 1 species